AAAAUCCGUCGAUUUUAUCAAUCGUGAGGGUUCAAGUCCCUCUAUCCCCA
rnacentral:tRNA from 1 species